rnacentral:rRNA from 1 species
CUCUUUUUGAUUAUAAUUUAAAGUAGGGCCUGCCCACUGAAUAUUUAAAGGGCCGCAGUAUUUUGACUGUGCAAAGGUAGCAUAAUCAUUAGUUUUUUAAUUGAAAGCUAGAAUGAAUGGUUUGAUGAAAAAAUUUCUUUCUUUAUUUAAUUUUAAAAUAAAUUUAUUUUUAAGUUAAAAAGCUUAAAUAAUUUUAAUAGACGAGAAGACCCUAUAGAGUUUAAUUUUUUAAAUAAAUAAAUUUUUAGAAUUAAAAAAUUUAAUUAUCUAAAAAAAUUUAAUUGGGGUGAUUAUAAAAUUAAAUUAACUUUUAUUAUUUGAAACCAUUAAUUUAUGAAUAAAUGAUCCAUAAUAAUGAUUAAAAGAAUAAAUUACCUUAGGGAUAACAGCGUUAUUUUUUUUUAGAGUUCAAAUCGAAAAAAAAGAUUGCGACCUCGAUGUUGGAUUAAAGUUAAUUUUAGGUGCAGAAGCUUAAUAAUUUGGUCUGUUCGACCAUUAAAACUUUACA